AAAUAUCACAUACUCGAACCGACCUGACCGCGUAGCUCAGUUGGCAGAGCAUUGGGCUAGUAUUCCAAAGGUCGUAGGUUCGAUUCCCACCGUGGGCAGGCAUAUUUUUCAAGCUUGCCCGGUGUGGAUCUACACUCGGAGUAACAUCGCAAGCAUCAUAUUCACCUGAGUACAUUAUACCAGCACAGAAAAAAUCAUGAUUACUAGAUUACAUUGAUAUCGAAGGAACUAGAUUCUGUUCCGAAAUAUCACAUACUCGAACCGACCUGACCGCGUAGCUCAGUUGGCAGAGCAUUGCCAUUGGGCUAGUAUUUCAAAGGUCGUAGGUUCGAUUCCCACCGUGGACAGGCAUAUUUUUCAAGCUUGCCCGGUGUGGAUAUACACUCGGAGUAACAUCACAAGCAUCAUAUUCACCUGAGUACACUACACCAACACAGAAAAAAUCA